rnacentral:tRNA from 1 species
GGUGGCUCAGUGGUGGAGUGCAUGCCUUGCAUGCAUAAGGCCCUGGGUUCGAUUCCUCAGCACCA